rnacentral:misc_RNA from 1 species
GAUGAAGAACGUAGCGAAAUGCGAUAAGUAAUGUGAAUUGCAGAAUUCAGUGAAUCAUCGAAUCUUUGAACGCACAUUGCGCCAAUUAGUAUUCUAGUGGGCAUGCCUGUUCGAGCGUCAUUAAGUCCACUUAAGCCCUGCUUAGUGUUGGGAGACUGCUCCAGCGGUGCUACCCUGUAGCUACCCUGCAGCUCCUCAAAGACAGCGGCGGAGUUGUGGUAUCCUCUGAGCUUAGUAACUUGUUCUAGCUUUCGAGUACACCACUUCCCCUGCCGUAAAACCCUUAAUUUUUAAUGGUUGACCUCGGAUCAGGUAGGAAUACCCGCUGAACUUAAGCAUAUCAAUAAGCGGAGGA